AUGGGGUCCCUUGGAAAAAUAAAAACAAGGAAUUGGUUUAACAAAAAUACAAGUUGCAUACUGUUUGAGAAAAUUGGUGAAGAAGGACCCAUGAAGACACACAGAAUGCCUAACCACCAAGUCCAAGUUGUGCACGUUAGGACAUGCAUGACUCACUCAAUUAUUAAACCAAACUUAAUCAAACACUUCUCUCUUAUCUAUAAUGCACUCCAAAAACUGAUAUCCUUGGGGUUAAUAAGGGUGGUAAGAAAUAUUUUCUUACCCAGAAAGGGGAAAAUGUCAAAAAAAGAGAGAGUCCAAAUCAGUGUUCUUUGCUGA
rnacentral:lncRNA from 1 species